ACCUAUUUGAAAACUCAACCCAUUGUGAAUCAAAAGGAAUUUCAAUUGGUUUUAUAGUAAAAAGAACACACCUAUACAAAGCCAUCUAUAUAUUAAAAAUGAAAACAUUAAGACGCGAAUGUUUCUUUUCACAAAUAAAUCAAGCUUCUACUGUCCUUACUGCGAGCCAGGCCAUCCUAAUAUUUUUUCAUCGCAGUAAAGGAUAGUAGAAGCUUGAUUUAUUAUUAUUAUUAUUAUUAUUGUUGAAACAUUCACGUCUCAAUGUUUUCAUUUGUUACCUCUAUAUUCAGUGUUUGUCUAAUUGGUCCUUGUGAAGAAAGGAGCAGAAAAGCAGCAGAUAAGCAUCAAGGAUUUUCCUUUUAUCAACCCAGGACGUCCGUACUUAGAAGCCGGAGGAGGGACAGAAUUCACUUCUUGGAUGCCAAGUAAUUUAUUAAGACGUUGGUAAAUCAUCCUAUUCAUUUAUUUAAAGAGAUAUGACAAGACAGAGAGAAGAGUAUCUUUCAUAUAUAACGUAUGUUCAAGCUUUUGUCUUUGGACAAGACACCACUCUUCUACGAAGACAAUACACCAAAUAUUUUACAUAUUCAUUCCUGGCUUUACAAUUUAACAAAUUCAAUAUUUAAUCCAGGUCCAGGUCUCUUAAAACAUUUCUCUUCCAAGAGACCAUUCUAUUCAUUUAAUAAAAGAGAAAUUACAAGACAGGGAGAAGAGAAUCUUUCAUUAAUAACGUUUCUACAAGCUUUCGGAAAAAACACUCUUCUAUGGGAACAAUACAUCAAACAUUUUUACAUAUUCAUCCCUGGCUUUACAAUUUAACAAAUUCAAUAUACAAUCCAGGUGUCUUAAAACAGGCUUCUUUUAAGAGACCUUGCCCUAUUAUACUUAUUGAUUUUGUUAGAUCAAAUAUAUUGUUUGUGCCGUACAUGGGCGAGUUACCUGAAAGCUUAUGCGAAUGUUAUAUAUGAAAAAAACUCUUUUCGUCUUGUGAUUUCACUUCAACAAGUACUUUAGGAAUCAUGAUGGACAUCCUUCGUGACAAAUUCUGUUACGACAUAUGUCCCCAAAUAUCAUGGCGCAGACAUCAAGUAAAGAAGGUCACCUGUCUAUUAAAGGAUGACCAUAAAUUACAAAUGGUUUCUUUAUUGUCCAUUUUGGAAGAAUUCUUGAGUUGGUUGGGAAAUAUUGAAACUACUUUGUGAUAGAGACCUUCUUUUUAAAGAUAAUGAUAUUUUGUGUGUGUAAAUUGUGAUAUUUUCGAAUCUUACCUUGUAAAAAAUAUCUUUCGUAGCUCUCUCAUUAUGUGGAAUUGAAAGCAUAAAUUGUUUAUUGCAUCUUUAUAUCAAUAUUUGACAAAAUGGCUUGCAGCAAAAAUGUUCUUUUAUUACAUCACGCAAAAGUGAAUAAAAGAAUCCCAUUUUUGCUGUUCGCAUUAGUGAUAUACGUAUUUUUAUACUACGAACAACAAUUUUAGUACGAAUCAUGAUGUGACUCUAUUGUUCUGUUUAUUGUGAUUAAAAUAACAUGGGUUUUCUAAAAUUAUUAAGUUUUUUUUAUAAAAUCUAAUGAUUAGGAAAGCUAAAAUAUACUGAUGAAUGUUAACCACUAUUCCUAUAGGAAUGAACUUUUAGUCAUAUUUUUGUUAAAUUUUGAAAGCUUGAUGUAUUUUAUAAAUUGGUUUUGAUGGUAUAUGAUAAACUAUUUUAGCUUAUAAAAGAUUAUAAAAAAAAGAACGAAAUGAUUUCUAUAUAUACUUGUAAACAUGCGGAAAAUGCUGGAUAGAUUCUAACAGGCAUUUCUUGAAAUUCUCUAAAAUUUCGAUAUCUUUUUCACAAAAUGAAAUCAUCUAUAUAACAAAAAAGGAAUCUAUUCCAUUAUACCUUUGAUCUAUCAAAUUUGUUCCAUAUAUUCCUCUUCUAAUGAAAAUUCUCUUUUUCAGGUAAAGGACGCUAAUAUUCUGCUUAGAUCCUAGUACUUUUUUAUUUCACUCGCCUGUAGAAAAUCGACUGAAACAUUUGAACUCAGAUCCUAACAAAGAUUGCUCAAAGAGAUAUCAAUUUCAUUUUACCAAAAAUGGAGUAAAAAUUGUCAAUUCGGUUUUCUAAAUCAAAAUCCGCCAAUAAAAACUGUGAUUUGUAAAAUGUAUUUAGUUAAGAAUUUUAACAUUUUUAUUUUAAUAUAGGGUUUUUAUUAUAUAUUAUAUUGAACCCUAUGAAUCUUUAAAGAAUAUAAGCUUUUUGUCACUUUCAUACAACCUAAGAAUUGUUCUAAUAGAAAUAUGUAUAUAUCUUGGUUCGUGUUGCACUUGUUAAUUACACCAACUAUUAAAACCAAUGUUAAUCUUCCUUACAUUUUCUUGUAAAUUUAUCAUAAAAAUAGCCUCAUAUUCUUUUUAUAUUAUCUAUCUUCACUUCCCAUUUAUUUAAAUUACUUAAAUGGUUCUAUAUAAUACUUCGAAGUGUUCCUAUGAUGAUCUUCAAAUGAUUAACUGGUAUUCUUCAGUUUCUCUUGUUCUUGAGCACGAUGUUGGUAUCUAGUAGCGCCAUGUUUCCUUGUUUUAUGCUCUUCUUUAUUUCUUGGUCGUUUCUCGUUCUUCCAUUCAGUUCACCAGUCCAAUUCUUCUUCUUCCCUUCAUUCUCAAACUGUACUUCUUGAGUUUCUCUUGCUCUUGAUCAAGGUGUUGGUAGUCAGUAGCUCCAUGUUUCUCUAUCUUAAUCUCUUUUUUUAUUUAUUGGUAGUUUCUUCAUUCCAUCCAGUUUACCAGUCCAAUUCUUCUUAUUCCCUUCGUUCUCAAACUGUAUUUCUUCAGUUUAUCUUGCUCUUGAUCAAGGUGUUGGUAGUCAGUAGCUCCAUGUUUCUCUAUCUUAAUCUCUUUUUUUAUUUAUUGGUAGUUUCUUCAUUCCAUCCAGUUUACCAGUCCAAUUCUUCUUAUUCCCUUCGUUCUCAAACUGUAUUUCUUCAGUUUAUCUUGCUCUUGAUCAAGGUGUUGGUAGUCAGUAGCGCCAUUGCUUCUCUGUUUCAAUCUCUUUUUUUAUUUAUUGGUAGUUUCUUCAUUCCAUCCAGUUUACCAGUCCAAUUCUUCUUAUUCCCUUCGUUCUCAAACUGUAUUUCUUCAGUUUAUCUUGCUCUUGAUCAAGGUGUUGGUAGUCAGUAGCGCCAUUGCUUCUCUGUUUCAAUCUCUUUUUUUAUUUAUUGGUAGUUUCUUCAUUCCAUCCAGUUUACCAGUCCAAUUCUUCUUAUUCCCUUCGUUCUCAAACUGUAUUUCUUCAGUUUAUCUUGCUCUUGAUCAAGGUGUUGGUAGUCAGUAGCGCCAUUGCUUCUCUGUUUCAAUCUCUUUUUUAUUUCUUGGUAGUUUCUUCAUUCCAUCCAGUUUACCAGUCCAAUUCUUCUUCUUGCCUUCGUUCUCAAACUGUACAUCUUCAGUUUCUCUACUCUUAAUCAGAUCCUGGAUAGAGUCAUGCUUCUCUAUCCUGAUCUAUUCACUCUAUAUUGUCAUACUUGUAAUUUCUCCUUUCCAUACAUGUGUGCAUGUUAAUCAGUCCUUCCUCCGUCUUUCUCCAAAUGGUAUUAGGAUAUCUACAUUCACGCAGAAGCCCACACCAUGUCAUCUGUCUUCGAGGUAAGUGCUUGAUCAUACUAAUAAACAUCAACGAAGGAAAAAAAAAGCUGGAAAAGUAAGUUUUUUAAAAAUUCUACUUGCAUGCGGGAACUGAAUUUAAUAAUAAAAAAGGAGCUAUUAAUAUUCAAGUUGAGAAUUCUUUUUUUUUUCAGAAAAGUGUAUGCACGGCUUUUUUUUAAUAAGCAACUAUGUUGUACAUUCCUUCUUUCUUUUAUUCCUACUUGUAUGGUUGUAUUGCACUUAAUACUCGUGUAAGGCAUGCCAGUUUUCUUGUGAUUGCAAGAUGUGUUGUGAAAUAAGUCUUCAGGAUUUUAUUCAAGAUAUUUGCAUGCCAUUUUGAUUUUUAAACUUCUACAAAUGAAUGCCUGUAAAGAGAUGAUCUAUGUUGUUAUUUUGGAAAAAAGAAAGAAGACAAAAGUGCAAUGUAUUUAUAACAAAGUUGCUUUCUUGGCGACAAAAAGCAAAGAGUUCUUCAACCAAUUGAUCAAUCCGUUGGGAUGAUUGGAUUCAGCAUUCUGCCGACCGACGUCGCUAGGAGCUUCUGGCUGAGGUAGUAGGUUGUAUGGUUGUUAGCAACAACUUGGGAGAACUGUACAACUUGCUAACUUUCCCAGAGGCCCUAGUCGCUCCACGGACCGUCUACCAAGAAAAAAGAAGGAAGGUAAGUACAUCUGGUGGCUAUCUUUGUCUGUACAUCCUCCUGCAUGGCCAACUAACCUUCCUUUCACCCUGCAUGUGCUAACAACUUCCCUGGGGACUUCCUCAACGGUAAAUAUGGUAUGGCUACUGUACUUCAUCAAGUUGUGGCGAAGAUCAAAAUCUCAACGCUUCAGUACCAUUUAGAACGCUGUCAACGCUUCAGUACCAUUUAGAACGCUGUCAACGCUUCAGUACUAUUCAGAACGCUGUCAACGCUUCAGUACUAUUCAGAACGCUGUCAACGUUUCAGUACCAUUUAGAACGCUGUCAACGCUUCAGUACCAUUUAGAACGCUGUCAACGCUUCAGUACCAUUUAGAAAGCUGUCAACGCUUCAGUACCAUUUAGAACGCUGUCAACGCUUCAGUACUAUUCAGAACGCUAAGAGUUUCGUUAUAGAAUUAUUCUUGGAGAGCUUUCGUGCCGAAGGCCCUCUUUACCAAGAUAAAUAAUAUCGAAUGAUCCUAUAAUUAUUCUAUAGAAUCAUACGUUAUUAUAUUGCCUGUCGAGAAAGAAGGACACUAGGUCUGAAAGUUAGCUAAAGCAGAAUUCUAUAAAGAAACUUAGCGUUUUAAUCAGUAUUUAAUUCGUUGAGAUUUUGAUUUUCGAGAACACUUGAUAAACUGGAAUUUGUGAUUCAUUUUAAUAACUGUACCUCAUACUGUUUCUGAAAUGUAUACAUAAUAUUGUGACACUAUUCGUUAACUGUUGGUAGUUUGGUUUAACUAGAGAGUGUUUUGAAUAGUCUUUCAUUUUCAAGUAUAACAUUUGUAAUAAAAUAACGAAUAGCUAUUCCUUCGAGUUGGUGAAUAAGUGUAUGAGAGAGUAUAUAGUUUCUUUAUUAGACUAUCAUAAACACACAAGCUUUCGUAGCUCACAGUUCUUCUCCAAGUGUUUUCCAUAUUUACAUAUGUCGAAGAACUGUCAUCGUGAGAAAGCUUGUGUUUAUAAUUCUCUCAUAAAAAACGCUUCACCUUUCUUUUAUUUCUUUCAUCGUUAUUAAAUAAAUAUAUUUCAUAUUUAGAAUAAAGAUUUAAAUUUUAAAAAUCCAUUCGUGUGUUGAUACUUGAAGUUAUUUUGAAGAGUUAAUUAAAGAUUUCUUGGAGAGCAGGAGAAUACCUAUAACCUAUGUAUAUAAUAGCAUAGCUCCCUAUGUACAUAUUUCCCAUUUAAUUUGUUUAUUCUAAUUUCUUUUUUCUUAUCUCUUCCCCACUCCUUAUACCAUAUCUCUUAGGAGAAUAUGUAUAUAAGACUAAAGGUGUUAAUAAAGGUAUUGAUUGAUUGAAUAAGAAUUUGUUUGUUUCAAAAUAUUUAAACCGUCUUAGAGCUGCCAUUAAAUUAUGAGAUCACUUUCUUUUGAUUCUGUAUUUCCAAAUAUUCUCUAUAACUCAAUACCAUCCUUCCGCUACUUUAUUUUGUAUAUCUAUAUUUGUAUAAUAUAUAUAUAUAUAUAUAUAUAUAUAUAUAUAUAUAUAUAUAUUCAUCAAAUAUAUUCAACCUUUUCUUUUUAUAUCCAUAAAAACACAGUAAUCAGUAAAAAGGAAUAAAGGCUUUCAAAAUGUUUGAAUACGAAAUGAGAAACUUAAAGAUGAUAAAACUUCUAAAACGAUAACAAAGAACACUUUGCGCAUGUUCAACAAACCAUAAAUCUAUCAAGUAUCAAGAAAAACUUGUGUUUAAUUAAUUUAUAUGGGUAUCAUACGUUUCUAAUACAUAGGAAUACAUAGGCGAACAUGGAAAAAAGGCUGAGAGGCCAUUGGAUAGAGAGAGAAAGUGGCUGUUGAUGAUAAGAGAGAAGGGGUUAAGAUGACGACCCGUGAUAGUAAAGAUUAGUAAAGUCUUAUCAUGAUAGAGUGGCCUUCUCCACACACUACUUAUCUCCUCUACUUUCUCCUGUCGUCAAUAACGUGUGGCCAUUGACAUUACUGUCCUCUGGAUGGUGGUGACAUCAUUCUUUGUCAUCUCGGGGUUGACAGACCGUCGAUGUCAUUCUUUAUUGAUAUGUCUUAUUGUACUCUCAAGUAUUAGCUCGACCAUUUUUUUCUUAAUAUUGUGAUUGAUUCUUUCUUCAAAUAUGGCUUUUGUACUAUGAUGCCUGUUUUCAUAGAUAGAUUUUUAUACAAUGGUUUCCUUUGUAUUGAUUAAAUUUAUACUAUAAAUAAGUUUUUAUUGAUGAGUUUGAUAAUAUUUUGCCUUUUAUUUAUAAAUAUUUGUAUUCUAUAAUAUCGUUUGUAUAUUAAUUAAAUGUAUACUAUAAAUGUAUUUUCGUUGAUAAGCUUAAUAAUUUUUUUAAAAUAAAAAGACAUAUAUUGGAUCAAAAUAUCAUUUAUUUUUACCAAUAUUUCAAUUGGCUGAACGCCAACCUUUAUCAAGGUAUUAUAACAUUGGUAAAAAUAAAUGAUAUUUUGAUCCAAUAUAUGCCUUUUUAUUUAAAGAUUUAUUUUAUGGAUUGCUCUAUUUUCAAAAAGUUUGAUAAUAUUUUUGCCGUUUUUUUUAUAUAAAUAUAUAUUUUUAAUAUUAUCAUGUCGUUUUUAUUGAUUGAAUUUGUGUAUUACGAUGUGGUCUUCAUUGAUGGGUUUAGGUACCACGCGUUCGUUUUUCUAGAUGGGUUUUGUACUUUGAAAUAUUUUUCUUGAUGGACUUUUAUUGUACAGUGCUAUUCUGAUUUAUCGAUUGAGAGAAUAUAUAAGUAUUAAAGUAAAAUAUAUAUAAUUGAAAAGAGAGCAAUUUUUAUUAUACACGCGACAUAUAUGAUUGUAAAAUAUUUCCUAAAAAUCUAUAUUUUAUCACCUUGAUGGACCUAUGAUUUUAGAGCGAGUUCUCCACUUUUAAAGAUCACAAUGAUGCCACUGUUUAUCGCCAUUCUUCACCAGUAACAAGACUUUGGUCAUGAGAUCUUCCCAUCUUACUGAUGGGCAACUUGGACUUCUCUCCAUAUACGAGUAUCUGGGUAUUGAUAAUAUAGAAACUUUUGAAUAUGUCUCCAUUCUUCGGCUAUAUAUACGAUAAUUUGUUCAAAGAAACAUUUUUUCUCCUUCGGUCAAAUUAUUACAGUUGUAUAUUUUUAGCUGAAAAAGAGCGUGUUUCAAAGUCUCUAUUUCUAUAUAGAAAUGAUCAAAAGUUGUUGUAUAUACAUCUAUUUCAUUUUAAAGGUUUUUUUGUACUUUUUGAAUGAAAAUUCAGCAAAGAUAACGUUUUACUUUAUGGAUAUUGGUACACCAAUAUGUAUAUAUCUUAGUUUCCUAUUGUACUAUGUUUUUGUGGUACUUUCUUUUACAGAGAUGUGUUGUCAUUUAGAUGGACUGUAACGGCCUUUUCUUAUCUACUUAUUAUUAAUGAAAUCUUCUUUUGUGUGGCGACUUAUCUUUGAAUGUUCAUUGUACUGUGUGUUGUUUGUGGCUUUCUCCUGUUUGUGAUGUCUGGGUUAUAUCUUUUUAUUCCAAGCUCCAAUAUGAUGAAGAAUCUCUCUUUCUUGCAGUAAUUUAUAUAUAUAAGAAUAGGUCGACUAAAUUUAUUGUUUCAAAUGGCAAGCUUUCAAGCCAAUGGAUCCGCAAAGAAGUUCAUCAAAACGUAUAUACAAGUAUAGGAGUUGAAUCGUCAUCUCCCGAGAGUUCUUUAGAUCAGUUCCUAUUGCAAUACAGACAACGUAGGUUUUGAAGAAUUGUGUGUGUAGGUUAAGAUGACAUUGACGAAGAAGAAGUGUGGGUGGUCGAAAGAAUCAAUCCACCAGCAGUCCUUGCCACAGAAUAUCUCUUUGAUAUCUCGGAGAAGGUUACAACAUCGACUUUAUCUGGCGUGUCUGAGAAAGCUUCGACCUUUCAACCAUUCACAUCGUCUUGUAUCCAAUCGAUGCGUGUCUUUCACAAAUCGGUCACCUUUUAGAAUAUAUCUCUCUCUUUGUAUUGUACCAAGUUAUGAAACUGGUAACAAGAUCACCAAAGCCACCAUAACUCUUGCUAUUAAAGGCUAUAAAUAUUGUUUUCAGAAACUACGCAAGAAUAACGUUUUAUAUUAUUCACAACUUCUUUAAAUCCCCUUGAAAAAUCAAGUCGUCCAAAGAAAUUUGUAUUUUCCAACAUUUGGGAAUUGUAUUUAUGGAAUUCUUGUUGAUCUCACCAAUUACGCACCCCAUAUAUGAUUGUAAAAUAUUUCUUUAAAAUAUAAUCAUAUUUUGAUCACCUUGAUGGACCUGCACCAGAGUGGGUUCUCCACUAUUAGGGAUCAUAAUGACGCCAAUGUUUAUCACCAUUCUUCACCAGUAACAAGGCUUUGGUCAUGGGAUCUUUCUAUCUCACUGAUGGGCAACCUGGACUUCUCUGAAUACGAGCAUCUGAGCAUCAGUCAGUAUGUCUCUGAUAAUCCCAAACAGUUAUCCAUUUAUUCGAAAUGAUUCUUUAUUAACUUUAAAAAAGUCCACAUUUUCCAUAGAAUCUAUCAAACCUUGGACUUACCCAAAUUCUCUCAUCGUUAAAACGAUAUACAUGAAUAAAAAAAAGUCCAAAUUUUCCAUAAAAUCUAUCACAACUACUACCUGCCCAAA